GAAAUGCGAUACGUAGUGUGAAUUGCAGAAUUCCGUGAAUCAUCAAAUCCUCGAACGCAUAUUGCGCUUCCGGGUAUUCCUGGAAGCACGCCUGUUUGAGUAUCAGUGUUAAACCUCAACCAAAAUUGUUUUGCUUAACUGCGUAACAUUUUUGCUUGGACAUGGAUCUUUCACGAAAUUGAUGAAUUUAAUUUUUAUCAUCGUGAGAUCUGAAAUUUAGAGAAAGGCAGGUCCCGUAUGGAACCAAAGGCUAGAUAAGGGUGCCUUCGGGACCUUUAAAAAGCUGAUAGUUCUUAAGAUCUGAUCCUUCAAACCAAACAAAAUCCGGGCUUAGAAAUGCAUUUUUUAAGAAUCCGUGACUUUGAUCUCAAAUCAGGCGAGACUACCCGCUGAACUUAA
rnacentral:misc_RNA from 1 species